GCCGCCUCCGCUCGCCUCGCCAUCGCUGGCACCUACCCGAGGAGUGGGUUCGCAGUCCUGCCCCCUCCCUUCCUCCUCUCCCGGUUCGUUCUCCCUCCCAUCCCAAGCCAGCUGCCGCCCCCACCCUAUUGUCGAUCUCCUCUCCCCCAACCUCGGUGUCGCCUCCUCCCUCUCUCCCAUAGGCGCCCGCCGCUGCCGUUUCACCUUCUCGAGAAGGUCAGGUGGAGGCCAGAUCCGCCAUGCCCACAGCGUUGCUUCCGCUGACACGCUCCUGUGCCGUUCCCAAGCCCGAUACAAAGGAGAUGCACGGCCAUCCCCUCCCCGUGCGGUGGUGGACGCAGGAGGUGCACGUCUCCGUCGAGGUCAUCGCGAUUGGGUGAGAACCCUAGCUGAUGCUCUGACCCUCACAACCCUCGCUUCGCCCCCUCCUUUCUCUUUCGCCUCUGGAUCCGGCCGCCGCCACUGUCUCUCUGCCUUGCCCCGCCGUCCUGUUCCUGGUGAGACGAGGUCCUUCCUUUCUAUUGCUCACAUCAGUCAUCCAGUUCUAGGCAGUGGAUGAAUCACUGAGAUUGGGAGCAGAGGCAAGGAUGUUGCCUCGCCCCUGCUUCUGACCUGGACUGGAUCUCGUUGGUUCUUGCUCAACCUGCCAAAGGUCUAUAUGUUUAAGAAUGACUCCACUCAUGUCCCCUUUAAAGGAUCCAUUAAGAUCAUGGAUGAUUCAAUUCUAGAGAUUAAUGUGGAGAAAAUAAUAAUCAGAUGCAAAAGAUGAGUAUGCAUCAUUAAUAUGCAUCCUAAGGGGCAAAGAUGUAGUCCUCCAGAGCGGUUGGAAAGAAGAAGAAGAUGGGUUGUUUGAUGUGUUCGUGCUUGUCGGCGGGACGGUGCAAGGCGCAACUCCGAUGCGGUUCCUCGCCGGUUCGACGGCAUUCAGGCGCAACCCCGACAUGCACUGAGUACUGCCUCAGCUACAGCCUCCCUCGGUGAAGUCCAUCUUCCUCCCGCUCCUCUGCUUCGGCUACUUUAUGGGACAUGUCCAUGGCUAUAUUGAUGUGGUGCUCGUCUGGUUGAUGCUCUAUGCCCUACUCAUGCAUCGGCUCUUGUAGUUGUGGAUCCAUGCCAUUUUAGGGUUUGCGGGAUGUUGUUCAUGUUUAGUUGCUAUCAUAGGAGCUAAUGUGAUGCUCUGGUUUACAUGUGGAUGCCCUGGUCCUAUAGCUAUGCUCCUGGAUUUGCUAGAUUGAUUAGUGGCGUUCGUUCUAGGGCGAUGAUGAUUAAUCGUGGCUGAAAUAAGUGUGCCUUUGAGAAAUCGUGGCACCUGUGCGUAUCAGGUUGGAUCCUCCCUCUUGUCUCUAGAAUCCUUUUUGAUCCUGUGAUACUUGUUGUUGUCCUUGGAUGGUCAUUUGUUGAGCGAUAACCAGGGCAGCUCCACUGUAUGAACAGAUUGAUCUGGUGAUAAGAGAUGACGGGGUAGGUUAUAUGAUCGAGGAAAGGUGAAUCUGAGCCCGCUAUGCAAUGAACCCUGAAUCGAGAAUCCCAUCCCAUCCCCUUGUUAGAGUCUGAAGCAAAAUGGAGCUCUCCCAUUCAUUUGGAUUCUAGACCGUUCGAUCGGUUUCCUGAUGCGAUUUCGGCCGUCGGAUCUCGGGCUCGGCUCACGUGAGGCGUCGGAUAUUUACCAAAUCGUUGUGAGCCGUCGGAUAAAAUUCCAAUGGCAAUAGAAUGUAAAUACCAUGCCCCCACGAGGGCAUCUGGGUCAUUUCGCUUAGGGGGGCAGGGGUAUAAAACGAUCGCGGCUUCCUGCGAUGAAAACCUAGCUGCCGCCUCCUCUCUCUCACUCGCUCCUGUAGCUGCCUCCCUCCCUCCCACGCAGGUGGUUCCCAUGGCGAUGGCGGCAGCGGCCACGGAGGAGGGCGGCAUAUCAGCGGCGCCGGCGAUGGCGUCCGUGGCGGCCAUGCAAUGAGCCCUGAACCAUUUUUUAUUUGUAUUUAAAGGUGUUGCUUAUUUAUGCUCAACGUUAUUCGUGCCAGGGCGAUGAUGAUUACCUUGGCUGGAAUUAGUGUGCCUUUGAGCAAUUGAGGCACCAGUGGGUAUCAAGUUGGAUCCUCCCUCUUGUCUCUAGAAUCCUUUUUGAUCAUGUGAUACUUGUUGUUGUCCUUGGAUGGUCAUUCUUGUUGAGUGAUAACCAGGGCAGCUCUACUGUAUAAACAGAUCGAUCUGGUGAUAAGAGAUGAUGGGGGUAGCCUAUAUGAUCAAGGAAAGGAAAAUCUGAGCCCACUAUGCAA